rnacentral:rRNA from 1 species
GUUGGCUUAGAAGCAGCCACUCAUUUAAAGAGUGCGUAAUAGCUCACUAGUCGAGUGAUUGUGCGCCGAAAAUGUAACGGGGCUAAAAUUCAUACCGAAGCUUAGGAAUGAUAGUAAUAUUGUUGGUAGAUGAGCGUUGUGUAAGUCUGCGAAGCUACACCGAAAGGAGUAGUGGAGAUAUCACAAGUGAGAAUGCCGGAAUGAGUAGCGAGAAUUAUGUGAGAAUCAUAAUGGUCGAAAAUCUAAGGUUUCUUGAGGAAGGUUCGUCCGCUCAAGGUAAGCCGGGAGCUAAGGCGAGGCCGAGAGGCGUAGUCGAUGCACAUACGGUAAAGAUUCCGUAGCCACCGAAGUCGUUAAAUACAGGGACACAGGAACAUAGCCUAACCCCACCGUUGGUUGAGUGGGGCGUAAGGGAGCGAAAAAUAGUAGCGAAGUAGGUGAUUGUACACUGGCGAGAAAAGCUGUAUGUAUUGAUAAGGUGCCCGUACCGCAAACCGACACAGGUAGAUGAGGAGAGAAUCCUAAGACCAGCGGGAGAAGUGUUGUUAAGGAACUCGGCAAAAUGACCCCGUAACUUCGGGAUAAGGGGAGCCUACGCGAGUAGGCCGCAGAGAAUAGUCUCAAGCGACUGUUUAGCAAAAACACAGGUCUAUGCUAAAUCGAAAGAUGAUGUAUAUGGGCUGACGCCUGCCCGGUGCUGGAAGGUUAAGGGGAAGUGUUAGAGCAAUCGAAGCACUGAACUUAAGCCCCAGUAAACGGCGGCCGUAACUAUAACGGUCCUAAGGUAGCGAAAUUCCUUGUCAGGUAAGUUCUGACCCGCACGAAUGGCGUAACGACUUGAGAGCUGUCUCAACAACAUACCCGGCGAAAUUGAAGUACUGGUAAAGAUGCCAGUUACCCGUGAUAAGACGGAAAGACCCCAUGGAGCUUUACUGUAACUUGAUAUUGAAUUUUUGUAUUACAUGUACAGGAUAGGUGGGAGACAGAGAACUAAUGCCGCCAGGUGUUAGGGAGUCGAUGUUGGGAUACCACUCUUGUAAUAUGAAGGUUCUAACCUGCACCCGUGAAUCCGGGUGGGGGACACUGUCAGGUGGACAGUUUGACUGGGGCGGUCGCCUCCUAAAAGGUAACGGAGGCGCUCAAAGGUUGGUUC